AGUGAACGCUGGCGGUAGGCCUAACACAUGCAAGUCGAACGGCAGCACAGUAAGAGCUUGCUCUUACGGGUGGCGAGUGGCGUACGGGUGAGGAAUACAUCGGAAUCUACUUUUUCUUGGGGGAUAACGUAGGGAAACUUACGCUAAUACCGCAUACGACCUACGGUUGAAAGCAGUGGAUCUUCGGACCUUUCGCGAUUGAAUGAGCCGAUGUCGGAUUAGCUAGUUGGCGGGGUAAAGGCCCACCAAGGCGACGAUCCGUAGCUGGUCUGAGAGGAUGAUCAGCCACACUGGAACUGAGACACGGUCCAGACUCCUACGGGAGGCAGCAGUGGGGAAUAUUGGACAAUGGGCGCAAGCAUGAUCCAGCCAUACCGCGUGGGUGAAGAAGGCCUUCGGGUUGUAAAGCCCUUUUGUUGGGAAAGAAAAGAAGCAGGUUAAUACCCCGCUGUUCUGACGGUACCCAAAGAAUAAGCACCGGCUAACUUCGUG
rnacentral:rRNA from 1 species